CCUACGGGAGGCAGCAGUGAGGAAUAUUGGUCAAUGGACGCAAGUCUGAACCAGCCAGGACGCGUGCAGGAAGAAGGCGCUAUGAGAUGUAAACUGCGUUUGUACGAGGGUAAACGCAGAUACGCGUAUCUGUCUGAAUGUAUCGUACGAAUAAGGAUCGGCUAACUCCGUGCCAGCAGCCGCGGUAAUACGGAGGAUUCAAGCGUUAUCCGGAUUUAUUGGGUUUAAAGGGUGCGUAGGCGGUCGGAUAAGUUAGAGGUGAAAUCCCGAGGCUCAACUUCGGAAUUGCCUCUGAUACUGUUCGGCUAGAGUGUAGUUGCGGUAGGCGGAAUGUCUGGUGUAGCGGUGAAAUGCUUAGAGAUCAUGCAGAACACCGAUUGCGAAGGCAGCUUACCACGCUACUUCUGACGUUGAGGCACGAAAGCGUGGGUAGCAAACAGGAUUAGAUACCCGGGUAGUC
rnacentral:rRNA from 1 species